GUCACUUCUCAGCCUUUUGGCUAAGAUCAAGUGUAAUAUCUGUUUUUUCAGUUUAAUAUCUGAUAUGUCCUAAAUUAAAAAUAAUAAAAAAUAAAUAAAGGGGAGAUAAGAGAAACCAGAGAAUCCAU
ensembl:snRNA U2 U2 spliceosomal RNA